GAACGCACCUUGCGCCCUUUGGCUAUUCCGAAGGGCAUGCCUGUUUGAGUAUCAUGAGCACCUCAACUCUCGUGGCUUUGCCCAUGAUGAGCUUGGACUUUGGGGGUCUUUGCUGGCUUACGGUCGGCUCCUCUCAAACGAAUCAGCUUGCCAGUGUUUGGCGGCAUCACAGGUGUGAUAACUAUCUGCGCUUGUGGUUUCCCGCUAGAUAACCUUCAGCGAUGGAGGUUCGCUGGAGCUCAUAAAUGUCUCUCCUCAGCGAGGACAGCACUUUGACUGUUUGAUCUCAAAUCAGGUAGGACUACCCGCUGAACUUA
rnacentral:misc_RNA from 1 species